rnacentral:lncRNA from 1 species
GAAAGAACAGACCAACCUACACUCACAUGCAACGGAACAAAUUACCUAAAAAGAUAAGGUAUAAGUAUUACCAAUCAGCAAUAUCUAUAUCCAACAAACACCAUUUCAACAAGUAUUACCAAUCAGCAAUAUCUAUAUCCAAAAAACACCAUUUCAAAGGGAACAAACUCAGAAGUGCCUAAACCAUGUGAAGGAACAUUUGGAGUAGAUAUUUCUUUGCCCAUAUCAAAUAAAUCAUACAUACCCUCAUGAUAUAUCAAAUGCUUACACAUGAAAUGGGAAUAAAAAGAAAUGGCAGAAAUCAUCCAUCAACAGAGCUAAAACAGGACGGGAGUGACACAGGCAUGCUAGAUUGACAAAAAAAAAAAAAUAAGAAAUCCAUAAGCAUGGACACUACUGUAUUAAAAGAAAAGCACAGAAAAAAUAUAGAAAUGGUUAAUAUGCUAUUUUUUUCGCCAUAAGAACAAGAAAGGUGUAACAUGAGCAAGGAUCUAUAUUAUAAAGUUAUACACUAUACAGCUCGAAAAAAUAAUUUUAGCAGACUUUCUAUGUCCAAUUAUCGGUAUAUUUUUUUUCCUCUACAGAGAAGAAAAUUAGAUAGCAAGCUUUUGGUGUCCGACUCCUGUUAUCCAAGUGAAGUAAGCUUUUACAGUCCAGUUUGGUCAUUAAGUUAAUAAUAAAUGCAGUACAGCUAUAUGAUAACAUUAUCACCUCUUAUUUCAAUUGGUAUGUGCACCUGAGGUCAGAUGCGUGCCUUUGAUUCCUCCCAUAGUUUUUUGUCCUGUCGAUUGGAAUAGUCACACGCAUAGCUAAGAACUAAACUGUAGUGGCUGCGAGGUUUGCUUGAAUGGCCUGUGUGGAGGAACGUCGUACCCAUCCUGGGGGACGGUUGCGUGUUUAUAUAGCCAGGUCGUGACCUCCUGGUAUAGCGUACAGAGUUGGUUCAGAUUACAACUUGGAGAAGAAGAGAUAAAAGAGGUUACAAAGAUAAACGCAUAUGAGCUAAGAUCCUACUCUAUCUUCGGUUGGAAUCCUCCUGGCGAUAGUUAUCUCCAACAAGUCUGAACCUGUCACGUAGGAUGCUGGCGUGACCAAUGUUACGUUCAACACCCUCCCUUAAUCACAACUUGGUCAAGUUGAGAUUACGCUUGAACUCUUCUAAAUUUCGUGUGGGCAAAGCUUUGGUGAAUCCAUCUGCAACCUGAUCACGAGAAUGAAUGAACCGAAUUUCCAACUGCUUGUUUGCAACUCGUUCUCAAACAAAGUGGAAAUCAAUCUCAAUAUGUUUUGUCCUUGCAUGAAAGACAGGGUUAGCAGACAGAUAAGUAGCACCAAGAUUAUCACACCAUAAACAUGGAGCUUGAGUAGUCUUCACACCAAGCUCUCGUAGCAUGGGCUGAACCCAAAUAAUUUCAGCUGUGGCAUUUGCCAAGGCUUUGUACUCAGCUUCAGUACUGGACCUUGAUACAGUGGCUUGUUUCUUUGCACACCAUGAUAUUAAGUUUGGACCAAAGAAUACUGCAAAACCACUAGUAGAUCGUCUAUCAUCUAAACAUCCUGCCCAGUCAGAAUCAGAAAAUGCACUAACAAGUGUAGAUGAAGACUUGUUGAAAGUGAGGCCAAGAUUAAUUGUAUCUUUCACAUAUCUCACUAUACGUUUAGCAGCUGUCCAAUGUGUUGUAGUGGGUGCAUGAAGAAACUGACAAACCUUGUUUACUGCAAAUGAAAGAUCAGGUCUUGUCAAGGUUGGAUACUGAAGUGCACCUACCAAGCUUCUGUACCUGGUACUGUCAUCUUGACCCAAGGGCUUUCCUUCUGUAAGUGACAAUUUUUCUAUGCUGGACAGUGGAGUUGGUGAAGAUUUACAUCCCUGUAACCCAACUCUUCUUACCAGAUCAGUGGCAUACUUUUCCUGAGAGAGAUGAAGACUGUUGCCUUGUUUCUUGACUUCAAUCCCUAGGAAGAAAUGCAAGUCACCCAGAUCCUUGAGAGCAAACUCAGCAUUUAAAUCCUUCAACAGUCCUGAUAUAGCCUCAUUAGAUGAGCUUGUGACAAUAAUAUCAUCAACAUAUAUAAGAACGAAUAUGGAUGUUUUCAACUUGUUGUAAAUAAACAAGGAUGUGUCAGACUUAGAAGGAACAAAGCCAAGAGUUUGCAAUUUGUGACUUAGUCUGGAGUACCACGCCCUGGGAGCUUGUUUGAGUCCAUAUAAUGCUUUAUCAAGCUUGCACAUAUGAAAGGGUUUGUUCUUGUUCUCAAAACCAGGAGGUUGUUUCAUAUACACUUCCUCUUCCAGCCAUGCAGGAACGCAUUCUCUACAUCUAGCUGUCGAAGGCUCCAUCCCCUGGAAACAACAAUAGGAGCACAAGACGAAUGGUUGCAGCUUUAACAACUGGACUAAUGGCGUCCUCAUAGUCAAUGCCGUACCGUUGUUUAAAGCCCUUUGCAACAAGUCUGGCUUUGUAGCGAUCAAUGGUUCCAUCAGCCUUCUUUUUGAUUCUAAAAACCCACUUGCAAUCAAUUAAAUUUUUACCUUGCCAUGGGGGAACCAGAUGCCAUGUUUUAUUUUUCAGGAGUGCCAUGUGUUCUUCUUCCAUGGCUGUCUUCCACUUCUUGUCACUGAGCGCCUCUCCAAGAGUACUAGGUUCAUCUGUAGAGCAAACUAGACUGAACUUUGUUAACUGUUUAUAAUUUACUGGUUUGGUUACCCCUUUUUGAAGACGUGUUCGUGGAGCAGCAGACAAAGAGGUUGGUGCAGAAGAUCCUGCUGCUGUAGCGACAGGACUUGCAGAUCCCGAGGCUGAUCCCGUGGCGUCCCCCGCGUCGCUACCGGCCGAGCCAGACGGAUCGUCUGUGCCGGCACGGGGUGGAGGCAUUGGAUAGGCGGCUGGAUCAGGCGCAGAAGAUCCUGGGCCGCGGGACACGUCCGACGCAGGCCCAUCAUGGCGCAAUGAUGAGGCGGACCCAGGUGGAAUCGCACCGGAUCGCGCGCCAGCUGACUAGGCCGAAUCCACCCGGGAAUCCGCGCCUGUUUCCUGUCGGGCCGGAGCCACCCUGGGAGCCGCGCCUGUCUCCUGGCGGCGGACGUAGUGGCGGGGCCUAUCAGCAGGCCAGCGAGCCUCGGUGCACCGCGUGGGGGCGUCCGAGUGGAGCGGGCUGGACGGGUCGCCCGCGCCCGUGAUGGCGCGUCGUGUGGCAGGCGCGGGGCCGCUGCUGGGUUGGCUGGCAGGCGACGCGGAGACCCGCGCGCUGCCCCCAGGCGGCAGCUCGGAUCCCGAAGGAGAUCCGCUGGCAGGCUGCGGUGGAACUGAUCCCGAGGCGGAUUUGUCCCCCAGCCCUGGACACAUAAAAUGUUGCAUAUUUGGCAGAUUUUCUUCACUGUUUUGGAUGUUUGCUGCACCAUUUUCUCUGUAGUUCUCAUCUGGAUCAUCAUAAAACUCAUGCAAAGGGUUAUGAUCAUUAGUCAACGGUGAAUCAUUACAAUCAUUAUCACCAUGAGAGAUGCCCGUAAGACUGGAUGGUAGUACGAGAAUUUCUUUUUGAAGGAGUUCACCGGCAUUAGGAUGAAGUUCAGAGAAGGAAAAUUUUGUCUCAUGAAAUACGACGUCGCGAGAAAUAUAAACGCGACCAGUGGAGAUGUCAAGACACUUGACACCCUUGUGUUGAGCGCUAUAGCCAAGGAAUGAGCAUUGCUUAGAGCGAAACAUGAGCUUGCGAUUGUUGUAUGGUCGGAGAUUUGGCCAACAAGCGCAACCAAACACACGAAGGGUUGUAUAGUCAGGUUUGGUGUGAAGAAGACGCCCAAUGGGAGUUUCAUAGUUUAUCACAGGGCUAGGGAGCAUAUUUGUAAUAUGUACCGCAACAAGAAAGGCCUCGUCCCAAAACUUUAGAGGCAUAGAGGCGCCGGCCAAAAGAGCUAGACCGACUUCAGCGAUGUGUCUAUGUUUGCUUUCAGCAGACCCAUUCUGUUGAUGAGCGUGAGGACAUGACACAUGAUGAGAUAUGCCAAUUUUCUGAAAAAAUGAGUUUAGCUUCUCGUACUCCCCUCCCCAAUCAGAUUGGAGAGCAAGGAUUUUGCAAUCAAACUGGCACUCAACGAGAGCUUGGAAGUUCAGAAACACUUGAAACACAUCGGACCUUUUCUUAAGAAGAUAGAUCCAUGAAAACUUGCUAUAAUCAUCUAUGAAACUCACAUAAUACGUGUGCCUGCCAACAGAGGAGGGGGCAGGCCCCCAUACAUCAGAAAACACAAGUUGUAAAGGCUUGGUGGAAAUGCUGGUAGAAACUUGAUAAGGUAAUUGAUGGCUUUUAGCCUUUUGACAAGAAGCACAAACUGUUUCAACGUCACGCUCUCCAACAUACGGGAGCUUAUUUUUCCUAAGCAAUCGCUCAACUAAAGAAAAAGAUGCAUGGACUAAACGAUCGUGCCAUCUGUGUUGAAGACACUUUGGUGGCACUGAAAACUUGUUUAUUGAAUCUUCUAAUCUCCGAAAUCAAGGGGUAAAGCCCACGAACGCAUCUACCUCGAUAUAGCACCUUCUUCGUUGCCUGAUCCUUGAUCAAAAAGAAAUAAGGGUGAAACUCAAGGAAGACAUGGUUGUCAAUGGCAAUGCGAUGAACGGAAAGAAGACUUUUUGAAGCACUAGGGACAUGCAAAAUUUUCCUAAUGUGAAUUUUUCGAUGAGGGGUUUUAAUGAUUGAGUGACCAACGUGACUAAUUUUCAUACCUUCUCCACUUGCUGUGUGGUUGUGAUCUUUGCCACGGUACUUGUCGCGCAUGGUCACCUUUUCCAGCUCACCGGUGAUGUGGUUCAUGGCGCCGCUGUCGACGUACCAGUUGGUGUCGACGCCGUAGGAGCCAUCAGCGACUCCGGCCACCUUCUCGUCCUGGGAGGAGUCAUCUUCAUCCUCCUCAAAACGAUACCAGCAAUCCUUCGCCGAGUGUCCCGGCUUGCCACAGAUUUGGCACCAGGUGCGAUGUGUUGUUGGAGGAGUUGUUGCGCCGGCCUCGGUUGUUGGUGGAGGAAGGCCGACCGCCGCGUGUGUUGUUGGCGCCGUUGCUGUUGCCGUUGCCAGCGCCCCUGCCCUUGCCGUUCCGAGGCGGCCCGCGGUUGCGAGAGCCUCCGCCCCGGCCGCGAGUGGCGACGUUGGCCGAUGACUUGAAGCCACCUCCCCCGCCAGCUCCCUGGAAGAGAGCCACCCGCUGGUCGAAGUUGCUCAUUUGCCCGAACAGCUCGUCGAGGGUGACCGGGGUAGUGCGGGCGUCGAGGGCGGACACCAAUGGAUGGUACUCCAUGUCAAGCGCGUUGAGGAUGUUUGAGAUUAACUCAUCAUCCUUCAACGGCUUGCCAGCCUCGGCGAGCUCAUCAGCGAGUCCCCGCAUGUGUGCGAAGAAGGUGGCCACCAAUUGCGUUCCUUUCUGCGCAUUGGUGAGGGCGGCGCGGAUGUUGUUGAUGCGGGACAGCGACGUCGACGAGAACAUGCUCGCCAGCGCCGUCCAGAGCUCGCGUGCAUGCGCGAUGGAGGUGACCUGCACUAGCACCACUUUGGACAGGUUAUUUAGAAGAUAACCGAGUACCUGCUGAUCCUCUCAGAACCAGACGGCGUGGAGUGGAUUUGGGAUGGUUUCCUCCUUUCCAUCCUUGUCCUUGCUGACGACGAACUCGGCCGGCUCCGCCAUGCUUUCAUCAAUGUACCCGAAGACUCCAGCUCUUCUCAGCUGCGGCGUGAUCUGAGUGCACCAUAGGACAUAGUUGGUGCGGGUGAGGCGCUCGGUGAUCUGGCCGGAGAGGGGAGAGGAGGCGGCGGCGGAUGAGGCCAUGGCAGGAAGCUACAGUGGAGAGGAGGAAAGCUAGAUGGGAAGAGUUAGGCUCUGUAUACCAUGUGGAGGAACGUCGUACCCAUCCUGGGCGACGGUUGCAUGUUUAUAUAGCCAGGUCGCGACCUCCUGGUAUAGCGUACAGAGUUGGUUCAGAUUACAACUUGGAGAAGAAGAGAUAAAAGAGGUUAUAAAGAUAAACACAUAUGAGCUAAGAUCCUAGUCUAUCUUCGGUUGGAAUGCUCCUGGCGAUAGUUAUCUCCAACAACUCUGAACCUGUCACGUAGGAUGCUGGCGUGACCAAUGUUACGGUCAACAGCCUGGCCUAGUGGCCUGCUUGAACGCUAGUCUGACUGGUGGUGUAUAGCAUGAGUUUACUUCUUUAACAAAAUAGGAAAGGUGUGGCUUAUAGCAUGAGGAAUGAAUGCAAGAAAUUAAACUGCCUUCCAAGGAACUACUAUCUAAAUUUCCAUACAGAAGUCUAACUCUUCAAUUUGCUUCUAUAUUUAGGACAAAAAUAAUUGCAGUUACGAAUCAUUAUCUGUACAUAGGUUCCAGAAGAUAUGAAGCUAGUAACAGAAAUACCUUGCAAUAUCUCUUGUGCAUACUUCAAAUAACAAAUUUCUUCCUUAGUCGUGCAAGAAUCCGCAAACCUCUUUCGCUUGCCAAUGAGCAAUCUUACUAACGGUCCUACAAAUCAAAAGAAAAUAUUGAUUUAAGGAGGAGAAACAAACACCAAAAACUUUUAGAUAUUGACAUAGGCAUAGCUUGCGAUGAUUACAAAAUGAGAUAAAAAUUGGAGCAGCCAACUAUUUGUUCUUACACUGAGAAGAUCGCCUCAACACAUUGUCAAAGCUACCUUACACCAAGUUAACAUGGAGAUAAAUGCUUAUUGAUAUAAAGUGAAAUUUUUUGGAAUAGAAACAGCAGGAUGGUUAUGUAUGAAAAGAAUAACAUGCCUGUUUAAAAUAGACCAGAGAGUAGACAGAUCGUCCAUAUGCGCUCAC